CUGGGGUCACCUGUCCGGCCAGCUACGUCCCCCACGGCCCUUGUCAGUGUGGAAGGUAGACGGCCAGACAGGUGACCCCGG
rnacentral:pre_miRNA from 1 species